AUACGGAGGGUGCAAGCGUUGCUCGGAAUCACUGGGCGUAAAGCGCGCGCAGGCGGCUAUUUAAGUUGGAUGUGAAAGCCUACGGCUCAACCGUAGAACUGCAUCCAAAACUAUUUAGCUAGAGUGUGGGAGAGGAAGAUGGAAUUAGUUGUGUAGGGGUAAAAUCCGUAGAGAUAACUAGGAAUACCAAAAGCGAAGGCAAUCUUCUGGAACACUACUGACGCUGAGGCGCGAAAGCGUGGGGAGCAAACCGGAUUAGAAACCCUAGUAGUCC
rnacentral:rRNA from 1 species